UGAUUAAGCCAUGCAAGUCGAGAGGGUUCGGCCCUCGGCGUACUGCUCAGUAACACGUGGAUAACCUGCCCUAGGGAAGGGGAUAACCCCGGGAAACUGGGGAUAAUACCCUAUAGAUUACAGAUGCUGGAAUGCCCUGUAAUCCAAAGUUCCGACGCCCUAGGAUGGAUCUGCGGCCGAUUAGGUUGUUGUUGGGGUAAUGGCCCAACAAGCCCGUAAUCGGUACGGGUUGUGGGAGCAAGAGCCCGGAGUUGGAUUCUGAGACACGAAUCCAGGCCCUACGGGGCGCAGCAGGCGCGAAAACUUUACAAUGCGGGCAACCGUGAUAAGGGAACCUCGAGUGCCUGUAAAUGCAGGCUGUUCAGGUGCCUAAAACACACCUGAAGAAAGGGCCGGGCAAGACCGGUGCCAGCCGCCGCGGUAAUACCGGCGGCUCGAGUGGUGGCCGCUUUUAUUGGGCUUAAAUCGUUCGUAGCUGGGUUGUUAAGUCUCUUGGGAAAUCUGGCGGCUUAACCGUCAGGCGUCUAAGGGAUACUGGCAAUCUUGGAACCGGGAGAGGUGAGGGGUACUUCGGGGGUAGGAGUGAAAUCCUGUAAUCCUCGAGGGACCACCUGUGGCGAAGGCGCCUCACCAGAACGGCUUCGACAGUGAGGGACGAAAGCUGGGGGAGCAAACCGGAUUAGAUACCCGGGUAGUCCCAGCCGUAAACUAUGCGCGUUAGGUGUAUUGGUGACCACGAGUUACCGAGGUGCCGAAGGGAAACCGUGAAACGUGCCGCCUGGGAAUUACGGUCGCAAGGCUGAAACUUAAAGGAAUUGGCGGGGGAGCA
rnacentral:rRNA from 1 species